GGCGGCGUGCUUAACACAUGCAAGUCGAACGGAAAGGCCCUGCUUUUGUGGGGUGCUCGAGUGGCGAACGGGUGAGUAACACGUGAGUAACCUGCCCUUGACUUUGGGAUAACUUCAGGAAACUGGGGCUAAUACCGGAUAGGAGCUCCUGCUGCAUGGUGGGGGUUGGAAAGUUUCGGCGGUUGGGGAUGGACUCGCGGCUUAUCAGCUUGUUGGUGGGGUAGUGGCUUACCAAGGCUUUGACGGGUAGCCGGCCUGAGAGGGUGACCGGCCACAUUGGGACUGAGAUACGGCCCAGACUCCUACGGGAGGCAGCAGUGGGGAAUAUUGCACAAUGGGCGGAAGCCUGAUGCAGCAACGCCGCGUGCGGGAUGACGGCCUUCGGGUUGUAAACCGCUUUCGCCUGUGACGAAGCGUGAGUGACGGUAAUGGGUAAAGAAGCACCGGCUAACUACGUGCCAGCAGCCGCGGUGAUACGUAGGGUGCGAGCGUUGUCCGGAUUUAUUGGGCGUAAAGGGCUCGUAGGUGGUUGAUCGCGUCGGAAGUGUAAUCUUGGGGCUUAACCCUGAGCGUGCUUUCGAUACGGGUUGACUUGAGGAAGGUAGGGGAGAAUGGAAUUCCUGGUGGAGCGGUGGAAUGCGCAGAUAUCAGGAGGAACACCAGUGGCGAAGGCGGUUCUCUGGGCCUUUCCUGACGCUGAGGAGCGAAAGCGUGGGGAGCGAACAGGCUUAGAUACCCUGGUAGUCCACGCUGUAAACGGUGGGUACUAGGUGUGGGGUCCAUUCCACGGGUUCCGUGCCGUAGCUAACGCUUUAAGUACCCCGCCUGGGGAGUACGGCCGCAAGGCUAAAACUCAAAGGAAUUGACGGGGCCCCGCACAAGCGGCGGAGCAUGCGGAUUAAUUCGAUGCAACGCGUAGAACCUUACCUGGGUUUGACAUGGAUCGGGAGUGCUCAGAGAUGGGUGUGCCUCUUUUGGGGUCGGUUCACAGGUGGUGCAUGGCUGUCGUCAGCUCGUGUCGUGAGAUGUUGGGUUAAGUCCCGCAACGAGCGCAACCCUUGUUCACUGUUGCCAGCACGUUAUGGUGGGGACUCAGUGGAGACCGCCGGGGUCAACUCGGAGGAAGGUGGGGAUGACGUCAAGUCAUCAUGCCCCUUAUGUCCAGGGCUUCACGCAUGCUACAAUGGCUGGUACAGAGAGUGGCGAGCCUGUGAGGGUGAGCGAAUCUCGGAAAGCCGGUCUCAGUUCGGAUUGGGGUCUGCAACUCGACCUCAUGAAGUCGGAGUCGCUAGUAAUCGCAGAUCAGCAACGCUGCGGUGAAUACGUUCCCGGGGCUUGUACACACCGCCCGUCAAGUCAUGAAAGUUGGUAACACCCGAAGCCGGUGGCCUAACCGUUGUGGGGGAGCCGUCGAAGGUGGGACUGGUGAUUAGGACU
rnacentral:rRNA from 1 species